UACGUAGGGGGCUAGCGUUGUCCGGAAUCAUUGGGCGUAAAGCGCGUGUAGGCGGUCCGGUAAGUCCGCUGUGAAAGUCGGGGGCUCAACCCUCGAAUGCCGGUGGAUACUGUCGGGCUAGAGUGCGGAAGAGGCGAGUGGAAUUCCUGGUGUAGCGGUGAAAUGCGCAGAUAUCAGGAGGAACACCAAUUGCGAAGGCGGCAUCCUGGACUGGUCCUGACACUCAGGAGCGAAAGCGUGGGGAGCGAUCCGG
rnacentral:rRNA from 1 species